UAGAUAAGGAGUGAUUAGUUUCCGUAGUCAGUCCAUCCUCAUAUGCAUGAUAAAUAUAUGUAACAUUGAACAUCUUUUUAAAUAAAAUCCUGGUACCUUUAUUUGGCUUGUUUUCACAUACCAAUUUCAUAUCUAUAUAAAAGAUCUUCAUAUGAGAACACAUUAAAACCUUCCCGAACGUUGAUUCUGAAAUUUGCUUUAAGUUUACCUCUUCAGCUUUUGAAAGUAUCCUAGUUAACAAAAAUUCCCCAAGAUGACAAAGACAAAUGGAAAGUUACAUUUUUGUACAGCUAAGACAUGCGAAUCUGGAAAAUUACGAUUUUCAGGAAAACCUACGGAUGACAGCACAUACUAGACAGUUUAUACAUUUGUAAUAGAACCGUAGUAUUCUUUAUAAUAUCUCAUCUUUGUAGUAACACAACUUUUAACAUUAAUUUUACCCAACUGAAA
rnacentral:lncRNA from 1 species